UGGGUUGUAGCUCAGUGGUGGAGUACUUGCCUGCUGUGUGUGAGGCAUUGGGUUCAAUUCUCAGCACCACAU
rnacentral:tRNA from 1 species